AUAGGCUAAUGCAUGCUUUAUUUUGUUUCUGUAGAAGACACGUGAAAGUGCUUCAUCUGUAACAUCUGAAGGACAAUAGCGGUAUAUUGCAUCAUGAGAGUUAGCAUGACACAAGAACUUGUGGUCUACUUUUCUGUUCUUUCCUCGUAUUGGCAAAAGCUCUAAUACAAGAAUUUUGCUCAGCUUGAGGGUCAAACAAAUCUACUGAAGCAAGAAACGCAAGACUAUAUUGAUCGAUGUGCAGUGGAGGUGCAAAGGAUUGGGGAGGACGUCAAAGUAGCAGCUCAUAAGUUGAACAUUCAGGGAAGAGAAGCUGCAGAGGCCCUGAAGGUGUGUUAUGGUCUAAUCAUUUGAAUUUUAGCACUAAAAUAGAUGGCUAGAAAUCUCUUGUGCUGUAGAUAAACGGAAUUUAAGUCAUGUCAUGCAAU
rnacentral:lncRNA from 1 species